UACGGGGGGCAAGCGUUGUUCGGAAUUACUGGGCGUAAAGGGUUCGUAGGUGGCCAACUAAGUCAGACGUGAAAUCCCUCAGCUUAACUGGGAACUGCGUCUGAUACUGGUGUGGCUUGAGGACUGGAGAGGAGACUGGAAUUCACGGUGUAGCAGUGAAAUGCGUAGAUAUCGUGAGGAAGACCAGUGGCGAAGGCGGGUCUCUGGACAGUUCCUGACACUGAGGCACGAAGGCCAGGGGAGGCAAACGGG
rnacentral:rRNA from 1 species